rnacentral:lncRNA from 1 species
AGAGAACACAAAUCAAAUGAUUUCAAAACCUGAAUUUGUAACUUGAAAGCCAUAAUAGGAGAAUUUCAAGAGAAUAUUUAAACUUUAAUAAAUGAUUCGAAAGAGAACAUUUAAACCCCCUAAAAGCAACAGGAUCGCAUCCAGGUUACAGUAUUGAAAUUAGAAUCCACCACUAAUAUUACACAACUUCUCUUACCAAAUCAGAUCAUCUUCGAUAAGAAGAAUCACUGUCAACCUACUCCAGCCAUGUCUUACAUCUGAAUCUUCAUAGCAUAACUCUAGCUAGCACAACCCUUAUCAACUUCCCUGAACACUCCUCGAUCACUGGAUCCUCAACUCUGUCUCCUCGCCUAGCAUUAGCCUUAUUCACCAUCACGGUCUAGCCACUCAUCUUUAAGCCUUUCUGAAAUGGUUAGAAAGGAAUAGCAAGGGUGAGCAACAAUGCUCAGCAAGUAAUAAUAAACAAUGAUAGUUCUGAAAUGAUAUAAUAGAAGUUCACGAGUUCAAGAUAUAAGAGGAUUCAACCUGAGUUCAUGAGUUCAUGGUAUUGUAUAGAAUGAUUUACAAUACCUUGCAGCAUUUAAACUGAGAAAUUCAAUCUUUCCAAAGAAUUAUUGAAUUGGACUAUCACAUUUUAAGUAAAACCAAGGUUAGGCAGCUGAUCAGUUCCGCACUAACCCCGAGCAGGCCCCGCCAUGCUCUAUCACUGGAUCCAAGGCACUCAUUGGCCUAACUUGACCACGAAUCUGGUCCACAGGUUUAUAUAAAAACAAUAAUCCAAUUCUAUAAUUCAAUAACAGGUCAACGUAUAACAACAGAACAUAAACACAAUCAAUAUCAAUGAUAGAAUAAUUCCAAAUCAAACUUUGAUAAUCAACUUUUCAUAAACCAGAGUCCAUCCUUUCAUAAAUCAUAGUUCAGGAAAUCCUUAACUAUUCAGUAUCCUCCAUUAUCGGCUAAGCAACUGAAUUUAGCCUGCUAAACCAGCAUGACAAUGGCGGGUUGAAUAAUCAAGAAGAUCCCAAGUCAUUCUAGGUUCUAACCAUCACUGAGCAACACAUGCUUCAAUGACAAUCUGAACUUCGAAUUAAUUUGUAAAACUGGAAUUAUCUGAAUUUUUGAGGAUUAGAAAAGGAUGGAUAAAAAUAUUUGCACUUUCCAAAUAUGAAAAAGAGAGGAACGAAUAUUUGCAACACAUACGAAAAGAAUGGAUCAGAAUAAUCGCAAGAUAUCCAAAAGAAGGGUAUAGGAUACUUGCCUUAAAUCUGACUCCAGUUUCACAGCUCAUUCUCAUCUUUCAACUUUCACAAUCUAUGCAUCUCGUAAUCUCUAGACCAUCUCUAGCUAUACUCUAUUCGCCACAUCGCUUCGCUUACUCGAUUCAUCCCUUAUUCGCUUUGCAAUACCAUUCCGACUUUCUGACGUCUUCGAGCGUACACGUCUCGUCCAAAUCCUUUACGAGAAUAAGAUAAUACUAUAGUCACUAAACAAUAUAUCGCAUAUACAUAUCACGUAUAUCGAUACCCACUUAUAUAUCCCUUUAAACUUAUCAGAUACCACGUAACACAUAAGCAUGCUUUGACUCUAACAUAUAGUCAAUCAUAUUCCACAUAACAUAUCACCAAUCAAUUAUCAUAUAAAUCCUUAUCGAAAAUCCGACAUCGUCUCGUCUAUGUAUAAGACUAUCCACCUAUUAUCCUAUCUCAAUCAUUAAUCAACCAACAAAAUCCAAUAGCUAUAAUCCAUAUAUUCUUAUCCAAUAUCAAUCAUACGAAUCAUUUAUCACUUCACAAUAUCAAAACUAACACGUACUUCACAUAAUCAUCACUUGAUAGCACUUAGAUCACAUAUUAUCACAUUAUGCAUACUUAUCAACAAUUAUUCACCUUAUAGACUCAGCCAUAUAGUCACAUCAUAUUAAAAUAGACGUUAUAAGCUUCUGUCUCUCUUUCGUUUCACUUGAUUCCGACUUACGGAUCAAAAGUUAUGCUCAAAACAGUUUUCUCACUCUCCUAUCGGCACAUAACACAUCCAACCAAUAGCAGACAACACACAACACAUAAGGUUUCCCAUCCCAAUUGAUAUUAAAUCAAGUCUUGGGUUAAAAAUGAUUUUUCGGGAAUUUUCUGGAAUUUUUAAACAUUUUUCGGAAUUAAAAUCGAUAAAAGAAUCACUUUUCGGAUAAAUAAUCAAGUCCCAAAUACUUGAAAUUGGACUUGAAAUCAUUCAUAAACAAUUAUCGAGCCUUGAAAAUAAUUUGGAAAAAUAUUUUAAAGCUCGAAACUAUUUUUCGGAAUUUUUAAAUCAAAAAGGAUUAAUUAAAUCCAAUUAAUUAAUCAAUUAAAAUCAAUUAAUAAUUAAUUAAAAUAAUUAAUCAAUUAAUAUUUAAAUUAAUUGACUAAUUAAAAUAAUUAAUUACUAAUUAAAAUUAAUUAACAAACUAAUUUAGAUUUAUUUUUGAAUUAAUAAACAAUUAAAAAGCAUUGUUGAAAUUAAAUAAAUGAUUAAAAACAUUUUGAAAAUCACAAGGUUUUAUCUGCAAGAUUUUAAAAGUUUUGCCGCAGGGUGGAAUCUGCAACAUUUUGAAAGUUCAGGGUUCAAUAUGAAAGAAACCAAACUUCGGUGGCUGCACUUCACCACCUCCAAAAGUGCAGGGACGAAACUGCAAUUAUUGCAGUCGCCGCCGUGGCUUCGCCGGAGGUGGCGAUUCCGGCCACCGUUGGCUCCAAAACUCUCCAGAUAAACUCUAUAUGCUACCCAAAACUCGUUCUUGCAAUCAAAAUCAUCAAACAAGGUAGAAAUUGGCCGUAAAAUCUGGCCAAAGUUUUUCGCCGCCGUCGAGCUUUCAAGCUCCGGCGUGCUUUAAAAACGAAACCACCAUACUUUUUGAGACCACCAAAUGAUUCCUCAUCUCCUAUUCUAUCUGUUUUCACCCUCCAGACAUCCCCAGAUUCAACCGUUUGCAAAGCCCCAAAAUCGAAUUGAAUAUAUUCAAGAACACCUCAAGAACAUUCAUAAACGCAGUUAAAGAAUCAAACCCAGUUUUCUAUAUGAUGCCGACCUCAAAACUCAACAUAUGAUAUACCAAAUCGACGAGAAAAACACGUACUACAACAUGGACUCAUCAAAACAAUCAAACAAUCACGUUUAUAAAAAUUCACUAUUUAAAUCUUGAUAAUUCGAAUUUUAGAAAAAUAAUCUAAAAUCACCUGUUGAAUCUGCAUAUAAACGGAUGAUUAAACUUGAUUCUACGCGUCGAUAGCUUCGUUUUGACUAUUCAUACACCUCCAUCGGAUUCCAAUAACACCUCCAAAUCCUCGUUUGAUUACGAAGAACACGAAGAACACAGUUCGGUUUCUCUCGGUAUUCGUGAGAAGAAACUGGUGAAAU